CGCGCACAGUCACCACUGUUAACAUAACGUCGUCUUUAUCCUCACUAUUCAAAAGGGAAAAGAGAAUAAAUGCAUCGAGUGGCGAUUUGUGCAAGGGAGAUAUAGUUGGAUCUACUUCACCGAUAUAGCGCUCACCGACCGACACCGGAGUGCGAAGCACCGGCCAGACCGUAUCAAAUAUCCGAUUUCCAAGACUGAAUUUAUGAGGAAGCGAUUGUGGGAAGUCGUUGAAAUGGAAAACAAUGAUAUUAGGAAUGAGCAUUGCUGUGGAAAGACAAUAGAACUACACCCUGCACUCUUUAAGGACAAUAGCAUGAGCAAGGGAGGUGUCUUUAAGGAAAAGGGACAAGUAUUGAGGGAGCAUUCCAGAUCAAUUUGUAGACCACCGAGUAUCAAUUGCCGUAUUCAGUCAUUUGGGCGUAUUUGUAAGAAAUUUGAUGAAAGAAGGACUAGAUGGGUGAAUGAGAUGGCGUUUGGAGGCAUUCUUCAUCUUGUGUCAGACAUGCAUGUACCAAGACAAUUAUCGUAUUGGAUUAUGACUAGAAUUGAUCCACUUAAUAGGAUCUUGAUUGCUCCAGAUGGACAUGAGUUUCCGCUGUCAAAGAAUCAAGUUAGAUGGAUAUUAGGUACACCCAGUGGUAACAAGUCCGUGCCAAGUUCUAAAAUGAUGAACAAUGAAGUUCGUGAGAAGGUUCAUAAGGUGAUACUCCAAUAUGGGAGUUCAUGGAAAACAAAAUCUAGUAGAGGAUGUGGAAGUGUUUAUAUAUCUGUCGGUAUUCCGGUAACUAGUAAAAUGAUGGAUAGAUUAGAGGGAAACUUUGGUGAAGAUGAGGAAGAGGAAUUCAAGACACUAUUUCUUAUCCUUUUGCUGCAUAUGGUAAUGUGUCCAACCCAAUCACCUCGGCUAGCCACAGAUUUAAUACCGGCUGUUAGCUGUGUCAAGAACUGUAAGGAGUAUGAUUGGAGUGAUUUGGUGUUGAAGAAAUUGAUGGCUAGUGUGUCCAGUUUUGCUCGGCGUUUCUAUGCAACUGGAUAUGCUGGUGGAUGUGGAGGAUGUGCGAUAUUUGCUGUUAUUUUUUAUCACGACAGGCUAAAUGGGCCUUCUUUACAAUGGGAUGUGUUCCCUAGGAUAAAGGUGUGGACCAAGCAUGCAAUCUCAAUGGCAGCGAAGGCGGACCGGACAAGAUAUGGGGACUACGGGAGGUUAGGGGUUAGAUUCUAAUCAACAACUGUACUUCGUAUUAUUCAUCUACACAUGUUUGAGGGUUGUUGAAUAUUUACAAGGGAAACGGAAAUUUUUAUAGUAUUGCUUAGAGUUACUUGAUUUUUGUGCAUUUGGUUGAUGUUGCCUACGGAGAGAGUCAUUACAGGAUUGCUAGGGACUUUGAAGCACCAGUUGAGAAUGUUGUGCUUAGAGAUGUCUCCGAGGUGAUGGGGUCUAAAACUGAAAGGCAAAGGCGCUCUGGUCGUCAAGGAAGAACCAAGGUUGAACAUGCUAAUAAUGUAACAAAGAAACAUAUUGGUUAUCGCUAUGCUUAAGUUAACAUGUGGUGUAACUGUAACAAUAAUUAAUUGUAUUUUACAAAAGGUGACGGUAUUUGUACGCCUUACAAACGCACGACAAUGAUUCGUAGUUAUUGAAAAUUUUGUUUUUCGAUAGAUUUUGUAAUCAGAUAAAGGAAUAUCUCCAUCACAGU